CCCAACCUCCCGCUCCUCACGCUGGAUGAGCACGCACACGCACUCCCGAACCCGCCCGCCGAAGCUCUCGGGAUAGAGCUUAUCCCGUUGCUCCCCGACGCCCUAGCCUCGCCUAUAAAAAGCCCCAGACCCCCUCUCUCUAUUCUGCCACUUCGCAUUGUCCCUCGCUUCUCAUAGCCGACGUACUGCCGCUUUGGAUCUCGCCGGAGCCGGAGGACCUCAUCGUUGUUUUUGUCGCCCGUUCGCCGGAGACGCCGUGCAGACGACCUGCGUCCUCGCCGGAGCACGGAGCCGCCGCCCUUCGCUCCGCCCGUCCAGCCCACCCCGACGUGCGCCGUCACCACCACCGAACCGCCCAUGUCGUGCCCGUCCCGUUCGUCUCCUUCCCUGCCGCCACCGCCGCCACCGCCUGACGCCAACGCCGCCGCCCCCUGCUCGUCGUCAUCGCCGCUACUGUCCGGAGUGCGAAGCCGAGUACUAUCGAUCUCUAGAAUUCAACUA